rnacentral:rRNA from 1 species
GUAGUCCGCACAGAUGCAUAUCAAUAAGCGGAGGAAAAGAAACUAACAAGGAUUCCCCUAGUAACGGCGAGUGAAGCGGGAAGAGCUCAAAUUUGAAAUCUUAAAGGGUUUCCCUUUACGAAUUGUAGUUUAAAGAAGUGUUUUCUGUUGAGGUUUUGGUAAAAGGUUCUUUGGAAUAGGACAUCAUAGAGGGUGAGAAUCCCGUAUUUGACCUUUACUUUCAACUUUGUGAUACACUUUCAAAGAGUCGGAUUGAUUUGGGGAAUGCAGUCCAAAAUGGGUGGUAAAUUUCAUCUAAAGCUAAAUAUUGGCGAGAGACCGAUAGCGAACAAGUACCGUGAGGGAAAGAUGAAAAGAACUUUGAAAAGAGAGUUAAACAGUACGUGAAAUUGUCAAAAGGGAAGCGUUCGACACCAGUGUUGUUUUUCUGAAAAUCAAUUAAAGAACUGUUUAUGCUAAGCUGUUUAGACUUUAUCAGCUAUCUGCUUAGUUUUGAGCUUUUCUUUAAUGCACUUUUCAGUUAACAAGUCAACAUCAAUUUCUUUUGCUGUAAAAAAGCUUGAGGAAGGUGGCUUGAGAUUCGUCUUAAGUGUUUAUAGCCUCUUGCCUAUGCAGUCGGAGAGAUUGAGGUCUGCAGCGUAGAUCCUUCGGGGCUAAAUGCAUUUGUGCUAAGUUAUAGCAUUUUAUAGACAACUUGUUGACUAUGAUUUGUCUUGUAGCUUACUCGCUUAUGUUAUUUUACCUACGCUUAGGAUGUUGACAGCAGUAUAGACUGU